ACCUCCAUAUGCCAUGGGUGUGGCCCUAAAAAAAAAAGAGAGAGAGAGAGAGAGAUGGAAGUUACUUGCCUCUGGGCCAUGCCACUGGGUCCCCUUUUCAGGUGUAUGGAUACAUACGUGUCAUCAAAAGAGGAGAUGCAUUACCAGCAUUAAUCACUUGCCAUUUUUAGUAACCUUCCCUAAUAGAUCUUUCUUAUGUCUGACCAAUAUCUUUCAUAUUGUGACUUUUCUGAUGAGGUUAUUUUUUCCACAGUGGAAAUGAAAGAAAUCAUUCAUCAUCCUCUUUUCACACAACAAAUAUAUAGAGGACUCUCCAAGUCACCGUUAGGCAUUGUUUCAUUUCUUUUCUCAUUUCCAACGUGCUGAUCAUCUUUGUUACUGUCACCAGCCCUGUCCAGUCCCCUAGAUCCACAAACAUCCACUGAAGUAGGUCAUUUACGAGCACUCACUAGCACAAGUAAUGACGUGGUGGCCGCUUGGCUCUGGAGUGUUCUAUGGGGUGAAUGUCUUUCCAAAUUGGAUUUGCUUUAAGAAACUAACAUCUAUUUCAACAUCUAUCAUGUGACAGGCACAGUGCUGAUUUGUGUAGCCCAUGAGCUAUGUUUCCUUCAGCUCAUUCUGCUAGAAUAAAAUUAAUUCUACCUGGGGAUGGGGAGGAGCCCUUGCAGGCUUCUCAGGGCUGUAGUCCCCAAAGAAGCUGGGGAGGAGGUUGCAGAUUUGGGCAGAAACCAAUGUGACAAAGAGGCAGCCGAUGAAGCCUAUGAGCUGUUUCCUACCCCAGUGACUGUUUUAGAAACUUUCUCUGUCACUGUGGAAUUACAGAGCAUUGGGCUGAAAAAAUUGGGAGGUGGUCUGAGCCAGUCCACAGUGUCAUGGUGAGGAUUUAUCACCCAGGCAAGAUCCCAGCUCCGCCACUUGCUACUUGAGAGAUUUUGGGAAAGUUGUCUGUCCUCUAUGAACCUCAGGCUCCUUCUCAUAAAGUGGACUGUUAAUUAGUACAUUGCAGGAUUUGCAUGAGGAUUAAGUGAGAUAAUACAUGCAAAGUGCUUAGGACAUGAUAGCUAUUAUUUUGCACAGUUGUCUGUUUGCUACUUAGAGUUUUCUAGGAAUGGAGUCACUGUAUCUAUGGGCUUAUUUUCUAGUGUGUUAUCAUCAAUCAAGUGACCGAGAUUCCUUCCUUACAGUCAACACUGAAAUCAGUCCAGUUUGAGCUGCUUUUGUUGGAGUUGAUGUCUUCCUUCCGGAAACUUUCCGUCACCAGUGAUGUUUCCAGCAGAGAACCCAAUGCUCAUGACUCGGUGCUUCACUCAGAUGCUGCAAACCUGACUGACUCCUAAAGCCACAAAGGCCAUUUCCGGCUCAGGAAGCGGAAGAAGGGAAGUGUGGGGACCAAUACGAGAUGCUCGAGGAGAAGGCAGACCCUGCUCAAGAGCGGAGUCCACAGUCCCAGAGGCUGCCUUGUCCAGGUCAGAGUUUUCCGAUAUUUUUAUCUCUUCUUGCCAAGUAAUAGCUAAGCAAAAUGUCCCGCUGGUUCCACUCAGUCAUUGGUCCUGAUUUGGAGAAAUGAUAUGGCUCAAUUGCCGCAGAUGGCAGUUUGGCCUGGAAAACACAGGGAGCUGUCACCAGAAGAGGCUGGAGGGUCUGGAAGCAAGCUCAGGUUUAUUUGAGAGUCCCAGCCCCUCCUCAUCCUGGGAAUAUGAGGACCCUCCCCUCCCCCACCCCAGGAUGUGAGGACUUCCCAAAUUGUGUGUGGGCAAGUGUCAUUCAAGGUGGUCAAUUUCAAGAGACUUGUUCCAACGUUUAUGUGUCCUGAGACGGUACCUGUGGCCAUUCUGGUUUCUGGCUCUCUCUUCUUCUACAAUUAUCUUCUUUCCGAUUCACUGAAAGGUGUUUAUCUCAGCCUCCAGGAUAAGCGUUUAUCUUACUGCACUCCCCAGGGAGUAAAAACCUCCAGGGUGCCAAACAAAAUGGCAGGUUUUUUUUUUCUUUUCCCCUUCUUCUGCUGCAUCUGUGGCAUAUCGAAGUUCUAGCCUAGGGGUCAAAUGCGAGUGCAGCUGCUGACCUACACCACAGCCACAGCAAUGUCAG